rnacentral:rRNA from 1 species
UACAGAGGUCUCAAGCGUUGUUCGGAUUCAUUGGUGCGUAAAGGGUGCGUAGGUGGCGCUGUAAGUCGGGUGUGAAAUUUCGGAGCUUAACUCCGAAACUGCAUUCGAUACUGCGGUGCUUGAGGACUGGAGAGGAGACUGGAAUUCAUGGUGUAGCAGUGAAAUGCGUAGAGAUCAUGAGGAAGACCAGUGGCGAAGGCGGGUCUCUGGACAGUUCCUGACACUGAGGCACGAAGGCCAGGGGAGCAAAACGGG